GGGAUAACUCAGUUGGUAGAGCAUGAGACUCAUAAUUUCAGAGUCGUGGGUUCGAGCCCCACAUGGAAUAGAAUCA